AGAGUUUGAUCCUGGCUCAGAAUCAACGCUGGCGGCGUGCCUAACACAUGCAAGUCGAGCGAGAAAAGGGGGGCAACUCCCUGAGUACAGCGGCGCACGGGUGAGUAACACGUGGGUAAUCUGCCCUGAAGUGGGGAAUAACACCGGGAAACCGGUGCUAAUACCGCAUACGAUCACGGAGUCUGCGGAUUUUGUGAUGAAAGGAGCAAUUCGCUUUAGGAGGAGCCCGCGGCUGAUUAGCUAGUUGGUGAGGUAAUGGCUCACCAAGGCUACGAUCAGUAUCCGGUCUGAGAGGACGGUCGGACACACUGGAACUGAGACACGGUCCAGACUCCUACGGGAGGCAGCAGUGGGGAAUUUUUCGCAAUGGGGGCAACCCUGACGAAGCAACGCCGCGUGGGUGAUGAAGUCUCUUGGGACGUAAAACCCUUUCGACGGGGAAGAAACCGCAAGGUUGACGGUACCCGUAGAAGAAGCCCCGGCUAACUCCGUGCCAGCAGCCGCGGUAAUACGGGGGGGGCAAGCGUUGUUCGGAAUUACUGGGCGUAAAGGGUGCGUAGGCGGUCCGUUAAGUUAGAUGUGAAAACUCUGGGCUCAACCCAGAGCCUGCAUCUAAAACUGGCGGGCUAGAGUUCUGGAGGGGAUAGCGGAAUUCCUGGUGUAGCGGUGAAAUGCGUAGAUAUCAGGAGGAACACCGGUGGCGAAGGCGGCUAUCUGGACAGAGUCUGACGCUGAGGCACGAAAGCUAGGGGAGCAAACAGGAUUAGAUACCCCCGUAGUCC
rnacentral:rRNA from 1 species